AUACGGAGGGUGCGAGCGUUAAUCGGAAUUACUGGGCGUAAAGCGUACGUAGGCGGUUGGUUAAGUUAGAUGUGAAAGCCCCUGGCUUAACCUGGGAACUGCAUUUAAAACUGGCGAACUAGAGUUGAGUAGAGGGGAGUGGAAUUUCAGGUGUAGCGGUGAAAUGCGUAGAGAUCUGAAGGAACACCAGUGGCGAAGGCGACUCCCUGGACUCGAACUGACGCUGAGGUACGAAAGCGUGGGUAGCAAACGGGAUUAGAAACCCUAGUAGUCC
rnacentral:rRNA from 1 species